CUGAGACUGGCUUUGAACUCAAGAUUCUCCCGCCUCAGCCUCCUGAGCCACUGGGAUUACAGUGUCCUGGAAGUCGGCCCGUGCCAGUAGCUGUAACUUGGUGUUUACCAGCAUGCGUUCUGAGGCCAGCCUGCCCAAGUUGGAAUUUCCUGUCCACCACUUACUCGCUGUAUGACUUUGAGCAAAUGAUCUGACCUCCUGUGCCUCAGUUUCUUCACACACAGAAAGGGAUAACAGUGGUGCCUGCCUUACAGGGUUGUGUGAAGGUCGAAUGGCUAAGGAGCCAGCACCUCAGUUUUCUGUUGGAAACCAUUUCUCUCCAUAUUCCCUCCCUGAGCUGGGUCAAGGCUCAUUCAAGACAGCCGUCGUGAGAAUGGCAGAACCAGAUCACAACGAUUAGGGCCGCAAUUGGUAUGUGGCCCACCCUGAGCCAGUCAGAACCAGCGGCUGCUGCCUCAGUCCUUUGCUGAAACUUCUGGGAAGGAGGUGUUCUUUUUUCAUGGAGGUUGCUAACUAAACUGGUAAGACAUUAGGAACUGCCUGACACCACCAGAGAUAGCCAGCCUGAGAACAGUGCCCAGGCACAGAACAGACAAAAGAGACAGAGGUAGACAGAUUCCUGAGGAUCUUGUUUGAAUACCUGGAUCCAGCCAUAUCUGAAGCCUGAAAUUACCUCUGGACUUUCAUUAUAUGAAUAACAACAAACAAAAGUUUCUUCUAAGGCAAUCUGAGUUGGAUUCUAUUAUUAUAAAACAUUUUGCAGGGAGAUAGGGAUGCACACCGCUUCUAUUCAACAUCCUUGAAACUCUAGCCAGAGCAAUCAACAGAUGAAAGAAAUUAAAGGGAUAU